ACUAGCAGUAAGAGUUUGAUCCUGGCUCAGAAUGAACGCUGGCGGCGUGGAUUAGGCAUGCAAGUCGAACGCCAAAGCGGGGCAACCCGCGAGUAGCGUGGCGAAAGGGUGAGUAAUGCUUGGAUGACCUGCCUUCGAGACGGGGAUAACAGUCCGAAAGGACUGCUAAUACCCGAUGGUCCGUGUCGGUUGACUCCGAUCCGGUAAACGGUUGAUUCCGCUCGUAGAGGGGUCCAAGUCCUAUCAGCUAGUUGGUGAGGUAACGGCUCACCAAGGCUUUGACGGGUAGGCGGACUGAGACACGGCCCAGACUCCUACGGGAGGCAGCAGUGGGGAAUUUUGGACAAUGGGGGCAACCCUGAUCCAGCCAUGCCGCGUGUGUGAAGAAGGCCUUCGGGUUGUAAAGCACUUUCGGACGGAACGAAAUCGCGCGGAUCAAUAACCCGCGUGGAUGACGGUACCGUAAGAAGAAGCACCGGCUAACUACGUGCCAGCCGCCGCGGUAAUUC
rnacentral:rRNA from 1 species